rnacentral:rRNA from 1 species
AGCGAACGCUGGCGGCAGGCCUAAUACAUGCAAGUCGAACGCCCCUUCGGGGGAGUGGCGGACGGGUGAGUAACGCGUGGGAACGUGCCCUUUGGUUCGGAACAACACAGGGAAACUUGUGCUAAUACCGAAUGUGCCCUUCGGGGGAAAGAUUUAUCGCCAUUGGAGCGGCCCGCGUUGGAUUAGGUAGUUGGUGGGGUAAAGGCCUACCAAGCCUACGAUCCAUAGCUGGUCUGAGAGGAUGAUCAGCCACACUGGGACUGAGACACGGCCCAGACUCCUACGGGAGGCAGCAGUAGGGAAUCUUGCGCAAUGGGCGAAAGCCUGACGCAGCCAUGCCGCGUGAAUGAUGAAGGUCUUAGGAUUGUAAAAUUCUUUCACCGGGGAAGAUAAUGACGGUACCCGGGGAAGAAGCCCCGGCUAACUUCGUGCCAGCCGCCGCGGUAAAAC